UACGAAGGGUGCAAGCGUUAAUCGGAAUUACUGGGCGUAAAGGGUGCGUAGGCGGUUGUUUACGUCUGUCGUGAAAUCCCCGGGCUCAACCUGGGAAUGGCGAUGGAUACUGGGCAGCUAGAGUGUGUCAGAGGAUGGUGGAAUUCCCGGUGUAGCGGUGAAAUGCGUAGAGAUCGGGAGGAACAUCAGUGGCGAAGGCGGCCAUCUGGGACAACACUGACGCUGAAGCACGAAAGCGUGGGGAGCAAACAGG
rnacentral:rRNA from 1 species